rnacentral:rRNA from 1 species
UACGUAGGGUCCGAGCGUUGUCCGGAAUUAUUGGGCGUAAAGGGCUCGUAGGCGGUUUGUCGCGUCGGGAGUGAAACUCAGGGCUCAACCCUGAGCGUGCUUCCGAUACGGGGCAGACUAGAGGUAUGCAGGGGAGAACGGAAUUCCUGGUGUAGCGGUGGAAUGCGCAGAUAUCAGGAGGAACACCGGUGGCGAAGGCGGUUCUCUGGGCAUUACCUGACGCUGAGGAGCGAAAGCAUGGGGAGCGAACAGG